rnacentral:rRNA from 1 species
CCUACGGGGGGCAGCAGUCGAGAAUCAUUCACAAUGGGGGAAACCCUGAUGGUGCGACGCCGCGUGGGGGAAUGAAGGUCUUCGGAUUGUAAACCCCUGUCAUGUGGGAGCAAAUUAAAAAGAUAGUACCACAAGAGGAAGAGACGGCUAACUCUGUGCCAGCAGCCGCGGUAAUACAGAGGUCUCAAGCGUUGUUCGGAAUCACUGGGCGUAAGGCGUGCGUAGGCUGUUUCGUAAGUCGUGUGUGAAAGGCGCGGGCUCAACCCGCGGACGGCACAUGAUACUGCGAGACUAGAGUAAUGGAGGGGGAACCGGAAUGCUCGGUGUAGCAGUGAAAUGCGUAGAUAUCGAGAGGAACACUCGUGGCGAAGGCGGGUUCCUGGACAUUAACUGACGCUGAGGCACGAAGGCCAGGGGAGCGAAAGGGAUUAGAUACCCUUGUAGUC